rnacentral:rRNA from 1 species
AUGUUGAUGCAAGACUACUUCGCGGAGAAUCCAACAUAUCCAUCGCACCUCUUCCGGAGAAGGUAUCGAAUGCACCGAUCUCUCUUUGUGAAAAUUGUUCAAGCUUGCGAGGCCAAUUGUCGGUAUUUUACUCAAAGAAGAAAUAUCACGGGCUUGAAGGGAUAUAGUGCAUAUCAAAAAAUCUCGGCCGCUAUGAGGGUAAUUGCAUAUGGCAUUCCGGCUGACCAUGCCGAUGAGUACCUUCGCAUUGUUGAAGAUACCACUAAUGGCUAUAGAUGGGAUGGGCACUAA